GUGGAAUGUCAACUAUUCAAUAUGGAGGCGGAGGUCGAUAAGCUGGAACUGAUGGUGAGUGGAAAGUGAAGGAAACCUACUGGGUAAUUAGUGUUCUCCACCGAAGGCCUAGAAGUUCCAGAAAGCUGAUUCUGAUUUGGAUUACCUUCAGUAUAGGCUGGAAUAUGAAGUCAAGAUUAAUCACCCACACUCAGCAGGAGAGAAAAAUGCAGUUGCAAUUUUAAAAGAAUUAUCAGCAAUAAAGUCUCGAUAUCAAGCUUUAUGUGCACGCUUUAAGACAGUUUCUGUUGAGCAAAAAGAGACCAAGAGCUGCAUUUGUGCUAUUUUGAACAAGACAAUGACCAUGCUACAAGAACUACAGAAGCAAACAAACCUGGAGCUAACUCUGCUGACAGAAGAGGAGAAAGCUGUGACAGAGCGACUGAAGUCUCACGUGCCAGACGUAGAGAACGGAAUUU
rnacentral:lncRNA from 1 species